UUACUACUCCCUCCGUCCAGAAUUAUUUGUCAUCAAAAUGGAUGAAAAUGGAUGUAUCUAGAACUAAAAUACAUCUAGAUACAUCCAUUUCAAUGACAAAUAUUUCCGGACGGAGGGAGUAUUAU
rnacentral:pre_miRNA from 1 species